CUAAUUGGCUGUGGAUGAAGAUGAGAAGAUAACAACAUAUAUUAUAAAGGGAAGAUCGGAUAUUUUAUACCAUUUCAUGGGGGCAUAUAAGAUAAAAUCAGUUAAGGGGUUCUUUCCAAUGGAUUUGGCAUCUUUUGAUAAUUCCAGUCAGAGAGGACCAAGAGAGAAGUCACAUCUGGCUGAGGGCAUAAUGUCCACUUACAUACAAUGCAGUCAUGUUGGUAGUGUGGUACACAUAUUAUAAAACAUCAUCGGCUGUUCAAAAUUUCAAUAAUUGGUGAUCCUUUAAUAUAUUGCUCGUGCGCAGGGCAGGCCAGCAUACAAAAGAAUGCUUCAAUAUCCGCUUCUUGUUGAGUUGUGUUAAUUUGUACAUGAAUAGCACAGUUUAAUAGAUGGCCGUAGAUCUACAAAGAGGUGUGUGUUACCGUUACCCAAAGAAAAAAAGAAAAAAAGAGGUGUAUGUUGCCAAUACCACCAUGCGAGUGUUUCUUUAGAACUUCUCCACAUCAAACUUUUGAUUUAUUUACAUAUAUAAUUGCUUUCGAGGA
rnacentral:lncRNA from 1 species